UAUGGCCGUAUCACGUAGAAACACCGGUUCUCGUACGAUCACUGAAGUUAAGCAACGUCAAACCUGGCCAGUACUUAGAUGGAUAUGACUUGGAAAUAUCAAGUACUGUAAG